GUGGGGAAUUUUGGACAAUGGGGGAAACCCUGAUCCAGCCAUGCCGCGUGCAGGAUGAAGGCCUUCGGGUUGUAAACUGCUUUUGUACGGAACGAAAAGGUCCUUUCUAAUAAAGAGGGCUCAUGACGGUACCGUAAGAAUAAGCACCGGCUAACUACGUGCCAGCAGCCGCGGUAAUACGUAGGGUGCGAGCGUUAAUCGGAAUUACUGGGCGUAAAGCGUGCGCAGGCGGUUUUGUAAGACAGGCGUGAAAUCCCCGGGCUCAACCUGGGAAUUGCGCUUGUGACUGCAAGGCUGGAGUGCGGCAGAGGGGGAUGGAAUUCCGCGUGUAGCAGUGAAAUGCGUAGAUAUGCGGAGGAACACCGAUGGCGAAGGCAAUCCCCUGGGCCUGCACUGACGCUCAUGCACGAAAGCGUGGGGAGCAAACAGGAUUAGAUACCCUAGUAGUCC
rnacentral:rRNA from 1 species